GACGAACGCUGGCGGCGUGCUUAACACAUGCCAGUCGAACGGAAAGGCCCUGCUUUUGUGGGGUGCUCGAGUGGCGAACGGGUGAGUAACACGUGAGUAACCUGCCCUUGACUUUGGGAUAACUUCAGGAAACUGGGGCUAAUACCGGAUAGGAGCUCCUGCUGCAUGGUGGGGGUUGGAAAGUUUCGGCGGUUGGGGAUGGACUGGCGGCUUAUCAGCUUGUUGGUGGGGUAGGGGCUUACCAAGGCUUUGACGGGUAGCCGGCCUGGGAGGGUGACCGGCGACAUGGGGACUGAGAGACGGCCCAGACUCCUACGGGAGGCAGCAGUGGGGAAUAUUGCACAAUGGGCGGAAGCCUGAUGCAGCAACGCCGCGUGCGGGAUGACGGCCUUCGGGUUGUAAACCGCUUUCGCCUGUGACGAGGCGUGAGUGACGGUAAUGGGUAAAGAAGCACCGGCUAACUACGUG
rnacentral:rRNA from 1 species